rnacentral:misc_RNA from 1 species
AACGCACAUUGCGCCCCCUGGUAUUCCGGGGGGCACACCUGUUCGAGCGCCAUUUCAACCCUCAAGCCCGGCUUGGUGAUGGGCCCCGCCCGCGGGCGGGCCCGAAACUCGCAGGCGUCACCGUCCUGGCCUCAAGCGUAGCAAAACCCUCGCUUGGAUGCCCGGGUGGCGGCCGCCCCGGAACGAUUUUUAUAUACAAGGUUGGCCUCGGAUCAGGUGGGGAUACCCGCUGAACUUAA